GCCGGGGUGGUGAAAUGGUAUACACGCAAGUUUUAGGAACUUGUGCUCGUAAGGGCGUGAAGGUUCAAGUCCUUUCCCCGGCACAA
rnacentral:tRNA from 1 species